UACAGAGGGUGCGAGCGUUGUCCGGAAUCACUGGGCGUAAAGGGCGCGUAGGUGGCGGCCCAAGUCCAUGGUGAAAGCUCGAUGCUCAACAUCGAGUCGGCCACGGAUACUGGGUUGCUGGAGCACUGUAGGGGCAGAUGGAAUUCCGGGUGUAGCGGUGGAAUGCGUAGAGAUCUGGAAGAACACCGGUGGCGAAGGCGGUCUGCUGGGCAGUUGCUGACACUGAGGCGCGACAGCGUGGGGAGCAAACAGG
rnacentral:rRNA from 1 species